rnacentral:rRNA from 1 species
GACGAACGCUGGCGGCGUGCUUAACACAUGCAAGUCGAACGGUGAAGCGCCUUCCUUUUUGGUGGGUGUGGAUGAGUGGCGAACGGGUGAGUAACACGUGAGUAACCUGCCCCCUUCUUCUGGAUAACCGCAUGAAAGUGUGGCUAAUACGGGAUAUUCUGGGUCUGUCGCAUGAUGGGUCUGGGAAAGAUAUUGUUUCGGUGGGGGAUGGGCUCGCGGCCUAUCAGCUUGUUGGUGGGGUGAUGGCCUACCAAGGCGGUGUCGGGUAGCCGGCCUGAGAGGGUGGACGGUCACACUGGGACUGAGACACGGCCCAGACUCCUACGGGAGGCAGCAGUGGGGAAUAUUGCACAAUGGGCGCAAGCCUGAUGCAGCGACGCCGCGUGAGGGAUGGAGGCCUUCGGGUUGUGAACCUCUUUCGCCAGUGAAGCAGGCCUGCCUCGUUUGUGGGUGGGUUGACGGUAGCUGGAUAAGAAGCGCCGGCUAACUACGUG